AGGUGGGCGGGAUGGAAACAGUUAGGUGCAAGGGAGUAGGGACAAAUUCCCGAAGCCCGACACUGCCGAACCGGAAACAGGUAACCCGGUUCGGACACAGACAGAUGCACACAAGGAGAGGAGUAUUACUCGAUGUUCCCUGGAAACCAGAGCCCUGAUUGACGGGUCUCAGUGUGUACUCCAGCCUGGCCUCAAACUCUUGAUUCUGCCUCAGAGCACUGGGAGCCCAAGCUUGCUUCUCAACCAAUGUGUCUCAUUUGGACGUCAUUUUUCCGGUCUCCGUUGCAUGGAAGUGUGAGUGCCCGUGAAUGCACAGGAGUGUAAAGUGGCCAGAGCUCAACACCACGUGUCUUCCUCAACUAUGUAACCCUGGCUGGCCUAGAGCUUGCCUUGAAUUCAUAGAUCUGCCAGCCUCUGCCUCCCCAUUGGAAGGAUUAAAGUCAAGUGUGCCACCA